UGCGCAGUGCGCUCUCGGCGCCUCCCACGGCGCAGGCUCGGCCUUGGCCUCUGCGCGCUGGGCGAGUGCGCCCCUCUCGGGUUCCCUAGGGCGCGGGAAGCGUUUGUUCAUUGUUUUGAGAGUUUGUGGUGAACGUCAUAACCCUUCGUCCUUAAAUAUUGCCGAUACUUGACCUACGCAAGAGACAGUGUCAUGUGAUUCCGCCUGAUGUCUCAAACCGUUCCCUCGCCUUUUCUGUUUCUCCUGGCGUUGCCAUUUUUGAAAAGUCUAGCCCAGUGGUCUUCCAGAAUAUCCUUCAAUUUGGAGAUGUCAGAUUGGUUCCUCAUUAUAAGAUUCACGAUACAUCUAUAUGAGCGCACAAACAUAUGCAGGAAUUCUACCGAGGCUGUCACAGUGAAAUACUGUGACUAAGCCACAACUCCUGUAGAAAACUGAACGAUGCGUUGUAAAAUAGGACACAAAACAAAAGACUUCAUCUGAGAGCUGAGAUCAUCGCGAGUACACAGACCCACUGCAGUAAUUCAACAGUGUUUGUCAGCCCAGGACAAUUUCUUCGAUUCUUGGUGUCCUGCUGCCCCCUGCUGCUCAUCUGGAAGCACUGACCACAGAAAUGAAAGUCUUCCUAACUUUGCACAGGUUUUAGUGCGAGGUUAGCGUGCUAUCAAAGAAAGGUACUUAGUUCAAAGAUUUAAACAGAGUGAUUUAAGGAAUUGCUUCCUAAAAGGCUGACUAUCAAAGAAAUUACAGAGCAACUUUUCUACUCUCGAACACGUUGAAGAGGAAUCUAAUCCAGUUAUUUGGCUAAUGAAUACGGUUUCGUUUUUAAGUUUCUGAGGGGGAGCAGAGCAGAAGGCAAUUGUGAUAGUUUAGAGAUAAACCGGUAAAGAGAGAGCAGUGAGUGGAUAGAGAAAUUAGAAGGCAAAAUGUGCAAGAAGAAAGGGGCAAUUAAUUAUUUACAUCCUCGAGGGUAAAGCUGAACAGAUCGUUUACAUUCCUCAGGGGGGUCGGGCAGAAACGGGCUCCAGGAAAAAGCCCGGAUGGGUCAUUUGUGAGCCUCAGCUCCUCUGGCUCCUGUUCCUGGAUCUGAUCACGGAAACCUCUCAGAACUGUUAGACUGUGAGUUGGGGCCUCUGAAGCAGAGCAGAGGCACAUCAUCUUUGGAGCCGAUUUCCUGGCCUACUCUGCAAUUUGUAAAAGAGCUCAGGAGCUAUCUCCUGGAUGUAAGUCAGCCCAUGUGGAAACGCGGACGUGUGAGCAUUUGAGUUGGAUAUUGUAUGUUCCAGGUUUUAGACCUCUGUGGGUUGCUGGUUCCUGCAUGCCACCUUGGGAUUGAGUAAUAAGGUGCCAGCGUAUCCUGUCACUCAGUCAAAGUAGUUAGAAGCUUGGGGCCUUGCGUAAGCAUUUUUUUUUUUUUUUUUUUUUUUUUUGCUGGGACUCUUUCUCCAUGAGGAAGACGAUUGGAGAAGAAACUUUCAAUAUUUAGAAAAUUAAACAUAUCCUUGUUAUGAUAAACUUAGAAAUCCAGUCCGAACCACUCUUGAAAGCUGUAGUUUGUGCUAUAAAUACUAUAGGAGUGUCGCUUCUAAAAUUUCCGAAGUUCCUACUUUAAAGGCACAAUGAUAGAUUUCAAGAAACAAAACUUUGAGCAAACAUUUACAUGGUUUAUUUCAGGUAACAAUAACCUGUUUCCUUAAUGCUUGGGGUCGUUAUCUUCAUAGCAUUGCGUUUAGUACUAUCAUUUUCUAUUUCUCUUGCAUAACGUAUUGUAUUAGUAAGUUUUCAUGCUGCUAAUAAAGAUAUACCUGAGACUGGGCAACUUACAAAAGAAAAGUUUAAUUGGACUUACACUUCCACGUGGCUGGGGAAGCUUCACCAUCAUGACAGAAGGCAAGGAAGAGCAAGUCAUGUCUUAUAUGGAGGGCAGCAGGCAAAGAGAGACAGCUUGUGCAGGGGAAUUCCUUUUUUUAAAGCCAUCAGAUCUUAUGAAACUUAUUCACUAUCAUGAGAACUAGAAAGACCUGCCCCCAUGAUUCAGUGACCUCCCACUGGGUCCCUCCCACAACACAUGAGAAUUAAAGAUGAGAUUUGGGUAGGGACAGAGCCAAACCAUAUCAUUUCUCCCUGACUCCUCCCAAAUCUCAUGUCCUCACAUUUCAAAAUCAAUCAUGCCUAUUCAGCAGUCACCCAAAGUCUUAACUCAUUUCAGCCUUACCUCGAAAGUCCACAGUCCAAAGCCUCAUCUGAGACAAGGCAAGUCCCUUCUGCCUAUGAGCCUGUAAAAUCAAAAGCAAGUUAGUUACUUCCUAGAUACAAUGUGGGUACAGACCAUCAGAUCUUGUGAAACUUAUUCACUAUCAUGAGAACAGCAGGGGAAAAACUUUCUCCCAUGAUUCAGUUACUUCCCACUGGGUCCCCACCCAAAUCUCAUCUUGAAUUCCCACAUCACAUAUUAAUAUUUAUUUUCUCAGACUUAUAUUCUCCACUUGGGCAGUGCUAAAGAUGUGGAGAAACAUAGGACAGGCUAUGUCUUUAAGACAUUUAUAGUAAUUUAGAAAAAUGUAGAACCAUACCAUGAUAAUCAUGUAAAAUGAGGUGCAGGCAAGAGUAGGAAAGUCAUCUCCCCAUUGCCUUUUAUUCUAUCCGUUUAUUCUAUCCCCUUCCCCCCCCCAUUACAUUCAUAUCCCCUCCCAUUUCUCCCUUCUGUUUGCUAUUUCAUUUUAUUUGUGUUGGUACUUAAAUUUCAAAUCAAGAAUACUGGCUAUUCUGUUUAUGCAAUUUUGCUCAAUCCAUAGGACUCCAGGUCAUAGUAUAAAGUUUGCAUAUAGUUGCAAUGAAUCUCUGUUGCAUGAACACCAACACACUAAUUGCCUAGCAUUAUGCUGCUCCUAUGUAAGACAGAUGUAUGUUUGAUUUCAGGAAAGGAGAGAAGUGUAGUUGGAGGAGAUUUAUGUAUUCCUAAAGGAAGAAUUGGAAAUACUUGUUUGUAUUCAGACUGUUAGGGGCGAUUAGAAAGUCUGUUCAUGAAAAACGUUAGGACACAAAGAUUUCACCUGUAAGUAGGUGCAGAGAUGUUCUCUUUAAUGGUUUUCUUAUGUUGCUGAGAAGUAGCAACUUUUUAACAUUUCCCUUUGUGUAGUUCCUCAUCAGCUCUGUGUACAGCAACCUACCAAAGAUAGGGUGGAAACGUGCAUCUUUUACCAAUCCCAGAGAAUAGAUGAAUAUCAGGCCUGUUUUUCAAAAAGAAAUUUAAACAUUUUUUUUUUUUUGGAAUCAGCAACUAACUUACCAGUGUUUCACUAUUAAAAAGUUCACAGUUAACUGAAACCUGGUUUUGCCUUCUUAACUGUUUUUAUGUUUGUCUUUUUUUUUGAUGGAGUCUCACUCUGUCACUCAGGCUGGAGUGCUAGAGUGCACUCUUGGCUCACUGCAACCUCCACCUCUCGGGUUCAAGCAAUUCCCUGCCUCAGCUUCCUGAGUAGUUGGGAUUACAGACGCACGCCACCACACCUGGCUAAUUUUUGUAUGUUUGGUAGAAACAGGGUUUCACCAUGUUAGUCAGGCUGGUCUGGAACUCCUGCCCUUGUGAUCUGCCCACCUCGGCUCUCAAAGUUCUGGCAUUAUAGACGUGAGCCACUGCGCCUGGCCACCUUCUUAACUGUUAACCCAAAUUGUCUGCUCCUAUUGUUUUAAACUGUACUGAAUACUAAUAUCUAACAAAAUUGUAGGCCAAUGUGGUUCCAAAAUUUCAUUAAAUUACUGAGACGUG